rfam:Deltaproteobacteria bacterium GWB2_55_19 gwb2_scaffold_62, whole genome shotgun sequence.
AAAAAGGCCCCUUUCGGGGCCUUUUUCAUAAAAACUAUUUUU